GGACAAAUAGCUCAGUGGGUGGAGCAUGAGACUCUGAAUCUCAGGUUCAUGGGUUUGAGCCGCAUAUUGGGCA